rnacentral:rRNA from 1 species
UACGUAGGGGGCAAGCGUUGUCCGGAUUUAUUGGGCGUAAAGAGCGUGUAGGCGGCCAGGUAGGUCUGCUGUGAAAACUCGAGGCUUAACCUCGAGCUGUCGGCGGAAACCAUCUGGCUAGAGUCCGGAAGAGGAGAAUGGAAUUCCCGGUGUAGCGGUGAAAUGCGUAGAUAUCAGGAGGAACACCGGUGGUGUAGACGGCUUUCUGGACCGUAACUGACGCUGAGACACGAAAGCGUGGGUAGCAAACAGG